rnacentral:rRNA from 1 species
UGGGGAAUUUUGGACAAUGGACGCAAGUCUGAUCCAGCCAUGCCGCGUGCGGGAAGAAGGCCUUCGGGUUGUAAACCGCUUUUGUCAGGGAAGAAACGAGUUUCUCUAAUACAGAGACUUAAUGACGGUACCUGAAGAAUAAGCACCGGCUAACUACGUGCCAGCAGCCGCGGUAAUACGUAGGGUGCGAGCGUUAAUCGGAAUUACUGGGCGUAAAGCGUGCGCAGGCGGUUAUAUAAGACAGAUGUGAAAUCCCCGGGCUCAACCUGGGAACUGCAUUUGUGACUGUAUAGCUAGAGUACGGCAGAGGGGGAUGGAAUUCCGCGUGUAGCAGUGAAAUGCGUAGAUAUAGGAAGGAACACCAGUGGCGAAGGCGACCACCUGGACUGAUACUGACACUGAGGUGCGAAAGCGUGGGGAGCAAACA